AACGUAGGGGGCGAGCGUUGCCCGGAUUCACUGGGCGUAAAGCGGGUGUAGGCGGUCCGUUAAGUCGGAUGUGAAAUCUCCGAGCUCAACUCGGAAACUGCAUCCGAUACUGUCGGACUUGAGGACGGUAGAGGUCGGUGGAAUGACCAGUGUACCGGUGAAAUGGACAGAUAUUGGUCGGAACACCAGUGGCGAAGGCGGCCGACUGGGCCGAUCCUGACGCUGAUGUGCGAAAGCGUGGGGAGCAAACAGG
rnacentral:rRNA from 1 species